rnacentral:tRNA from 1 species
GCAGUGGUGGCUCAGUGGUAGAAUUCUCCUUUUCCAUGCAGGAGACCUGGGUUCGAUUCCUGGCCAAUGCA